rnacentral:rRNA from 1 species
UACAGAGGGUGCGAGCGUUAAUCGGAAUUACUGGGCGUAAAGCGUGCGUAGACGGCUAUCUAAGUCGGGUGUGAAAGCCCCGGGCUCAACCUGGGAAUUGCAUUCGAGACUGGAUGGCUUGAAUUCGGGAGAGGGAUGCAGAAUUCCAGGUGUAGCGGUGAAAUGCGUAGAUAUCUGGAGGAAUACCGGUGGCGAAGGCGGCAUCCUGGACCGACAUUGACGCUGAGGAGCGAAAGCUAGGGGAGCAAACGGG